rnacentral:pre_miRNA from 1 species
AGGAGGAACAGCCCCAGUGGCGGGGCAGCUCUGGAAACCUGGAUUCAGCCCCCGCAGGAACUCCAGAACUCUCAGUCUGCAGGGCCUGGAGGCUCCGGGGCGGG